rnacentral:lncRNA from 1 species
CUCCGAGACGUGACGUCGCCUGAAACGUUCGAACCGUCUUACAGACUUAUAUCAAAGUUUUAAAAACAAAAUACAUUUGCAAGAAACUGAUCCGCCAGCAUUGUUAUGAAAAAGUGUCUUCAGCAAAAAGUGUCAUCAGGUCGUAUUUCCUGUUUCUGCACUGCUUGAGCCCAUAACUGAUGACCAGUGUGGAAAGGAAGGACAAAAUGCAGCCCU